rnacentral:rRNA from 2 species
UGGGGAAUAUUGCACAAUGGGGGAAACCCUGAUGCAGCGACGCCGCGUGAGGGAAGAAGGUUUUCGGAUUGUAAACCUCUGUCUUUGGUGACGAUAAUGACGGUAGCCAAAGAGGAAGCUACGGCUAACUACGUGCCAGCAGCCGCGGUAAUACGUAGGUGGCAAGCGUUGUCCGGAAUUACUGGGUGUAAAGGGAGCGUAGGCGGGAAGACAAGUUGAAUGUUUAAACUAUCGGCUUAACCGGUAGUCGCGUUCAAAACUGUUUUUCUUGAGUGAAGUAGAGGCAGGCGGAAUUCCUAGUGUAGCGGUGAAAUGCGUAGAUAUUAGGAGGAACACCAGUGGCGAAGGCGGCCUGCUGGGCUUUAACUGACGCUGAGGCUCGAAAGCGUGGGUAGCAAACAGG